CAGCAGCCACGGUAAUACGUAGGUGGCAAGCGUUGUCCGGAAUUAUUGGGCGUAAAGGGCUCGCAGGCGGUUUCUUAAGUCUGAUGUGAAAGCCCCCGGCUCAACCGGGGAGGGUCAUUGGAAACUGGGAAACUUGAGUGCAGAAGAGGAGAGUGGAAUUCCACGUGUAGCGGUGAAAUGCGUAGAGAUGUGGAGGAACACCAGUGGCGAAGGCGACUCUCUGGUCUGUAGCUGACGCUGAGGAGCGAAAGCGUGGGGAGCGAACAGGAUUAGAUACCCCUGUAGUCCCUGUCUCUUAUAC
rnacentral:rRNA from 1 species